AAGAAAAGAAUUAACCACAUACAUUUAUUGAUUGAUUUUGUAAUUUAUUAUCAAUAGAUUAAUCUUUCCAUUGACACGUCCUUCUAUAAUGACCAUAUUCAAAGUUAAGUUUCCAUAUAACUACAUAAAUUUUAAUUAGCCACAGUUGUACUUCAUGACAAAUUGGAAAUUGAGCUGAAUUUCAGGACCUUUUUUGUAAUUAACCCAAAAAUUAUGCUUAUUAACUUCGAGAAAUACUGAUAAUAGGAUGCCAUGAUACUUGAUGGCAACUUCUCUUGUUUGCAAAAAUGUGCUUGUG
rnacentral:misc_RNA from 1 species